rnacentral:rRNA from 1 species
GAUGAACGCUAGCGGCAGGCCUAAUACAUGCAAGUCGAACGGGAUCUGAGGGUAGCUUGCUACCCGAUUUGAGAGUGGCGCACGGGUGCGUAACGCGUGAGCAACCUACCCAUAUCAGGGGGAUAGCCCGAAGAAAUUCGGAUUAACACCGCAUAAUAAUACGCUAACACAUGUUGAUGUAUUUAAAUAUUUAUAGGAUAUGGAUGGGCUCGCGUGACAUUAGCUAGUUGGUAAGGUAACGGCUUACCAAGGCGACGAUGUCUAGGGGCUCUGAGAGGAGAAUCCACCACACAGGUACUGAGACACGGACCAGACUCCUACGGGAGGCAGCAGUAAGGAAUAUUGGUCAAUGGGCGCAAGCCUGAACCAGCCAUGCCGCGUGCAGGAUGACUGCCCUAUGGGUUGUAAACUGCUUUUGUUAGGGAAUAAACCUUCUUACGUGUAAGGAGCUGAAUGUACCUAAAGAAUAAGGAUCGGCUAACUCCGUGCCAGCAGCCGCCGUAAAAC